rnacentral:rRNA from 1 species
UACCGAGGUCUCAAGCGUUGUUCGGAUUCAUUGGGCGUAAAGGGUGCGUAGGCGGCGCGGUAAGUCGGGUGUGAAAUCUCGGAGCUUAACUCCGAAACUGCCUUCGAUACUGCUGUGCUUGAGGACUGGAGAGGAGACUGGAAUUUACGGUGUAGCGGUGAAAUGCGUAGAUAUCGUAAGGAAGACCAGUGGCGAAGGCGGGUCUCUGGACAGUUCCUGACGCUGAGGCACGAAGGUCAGGGGAGCAAACGGG